rnacentral:rRNA from 2 species
GCGUAUAACAAUACAAGAUUGAAAGCAACGGAUUUCGUUUGAUCUACGAAGUUCGCAAGUCUCGGGUCGGGUUAGUUCUUAGGUGGAUGAACUUUUGAGAGCUCCUGGUUUUAUGGACU